rnacentral:pre_miRNA from 11 species
UCUGUAUGCUUGUUUUAUGGGGCUGCAUGCAUGCAUGCAUGCAUGCAUGCAUGCAUGCAUGCAUGCAGCCCCAUAAAACAAGCAUACAGUAGCA